rnacentral:rRNA from 1 species
GACGAACGCUGGCGGCGUGCCUAAUACAUGCAAGUUGAGCGCUGAAGGUUGGUACUUGUACCGACUGGAUGAGCAGCGCACGGGUGAGUAACGCGUGGGGAAUCUGCCUUUGAGCGGGGGACAACAUUUGGAAACGAAUGCUAAUACCGCAUAAAAACUUUAAACACAAGUUUUAAGUUUGAAAGAUGCAAUUGCAUCACUCAAAGAUGAUCCCGCGUUGUAUUAGCUAGUUGGUGAGGUAAAGGCUCACCAAGGCGAUGAUACAUAGCCGACCGGAGAGGGUGAGAGGCCGCAGUGGGAGGGAGACACGGCCCAAAGGCCUACGGGAGGCAGCAGUAGGGAAUCGGCGGCAAGGGGCGAAAGUCUGUCCGAGCAACGCCGCAGGAGGGAAGAAGGUUGUCGGGUCGUAAAAAUCGGUUGGUAGGGAAGAAAGUUGGUGAGAGUGGAAAGCUCAGCAAGUGACGGUAACUACUCAGAAAGGGACGGCUAACUACGUG